UACGUAGGGGGCAAGCGUUGUCCGGAAUCAUUGGGCGUAAAGAGCGUGUAGGCGGCCCGGUAAGUCCGCUGUGAAAGUCCAGGGCUCAACCCUGGGAUGCCGGUGGAUACUGUCGGGCUCGAGUCCGGAAGAGGCGAGUGGAAUUCCUGGUGUAGCGGUGAAAUGCGCAGAUAUCAGGAGGAACACCAAUGGCGAAGGCAGCUCGCUGGGACGUGACUGACGCUGAGACGCGAAAGCGUGGGGAGCAAACGGG
rnacentral:rRNA from 1 species